rfam:Grimontia sp. AD028 Contig32, whole genome shotgun sequence.
CACAGUCAACGGCAAACUGCCUGAAAAGGUAGGACGCAAAGCUUCCGGUCUAAGAGUGAAUUGAAUGCCACUUACGAUAGCGGGGCCGCCAUU